UUUACAAAUCCAAACAAUCAUGCAUUAAGUUGUUAUACAUUAUUAUGUAUAAGAAAAGGUAGAAUUAGCUAUGCAUGACAUAUUCAGCUCUAGAAGAACAUCAACAACCCAUUCUCAUUCAUUCAGGCAACGAUUUAAGGCCAACAAUGGCGGAAGAUGACACGUGACUAGAAAAAGGGAGAAGAUGGUACGGAAAAUCAAGAGCAAGCAAAUAUGGGACCAUAGAGAAGUGGAUGUGGUACAAGUAUAGGGGAAUCACGCUUGAAUGUUUCAAACUCAUAAAGUUGCAUAUGACCAGUGUUGAACUAUUUGUAAUUAAUGAACUAUAAAGCUAUGAUAAUUUGUAAGUGUUGUGUAUACAUUGUAUAGAACCAACAUUUCAGUUGAUGGAGAAUCACUUUUUU
rnacentral:lncRNA from 1 species